UUGGUGCAAGUGUUUGGAAUGUGGCUAACUUGGUGCGGUCAAUUCCGAAUAAUUUGAAAAGAAGAAAAAGUGAUAGCCUGGCAAUAAACCAGCAUUUGGCCAAUAGUUGUUCCUGAAGUGCAUGAAUAGAAGAGGUCACGGGAUCUACGGAAAGCCUGCCGGGACCUCUGAUCCCAUUAAAUGCCAAGUCUCACCCCAGUAUUGCCGGGUUUGCUGCAGCUAGCCUGCCAGGUGGACUUCCAGGAAAUUAUCUGCAUGUUUUCCUGACAUUCGUGUGGCUUGCCAAGCCUUUCAUCGUGUUCUCACCCACAUGAAAUUAUUUGAACAUUUUGGGAAGAAAACAAGUGACAAUAGUGGCUGUUGCCAUUUUGCAGAUGAGGAAACUGAGGCUCCAAGAUGUCACAUGUCUGAGAACUGAAGAAAGUUCUGAGCCAAAAGUGAGGAAAAGAGCAGAGCCGUGGAUGCCAGUGGAGUGUGACCAGGCUGGGCAAGGACCCGCACAGAAAGGUGUGGACAGGCGUGAUGGGUGGAGAGGGUGAUAAGGCUGGGCCCUGUGCCAUGAGCCAGUGCCCCUGCCACGCCCUGGCCCCAGGCACCUGCAUCAUCAGUGUGGGCAUAGCCGCCUCACCAGGCCUCUCCCGGCUCAUGGCCCACUUUCUGCAUGUAACUCCUACCUCUCCGACAGAACAGCUAGCUCAGCUGUUCUGGCUCAAAGGUUCGCCUUUCUUCCUGAACACAGUCAGGGUUCUCUCUGUUGGCCCUGGACCCCCAUUCUGAACAAUUCCCAUGGCACCAGCCUUCUCCAGUCCUCUGAAUUAAACCCCAGACUCACUGUGAGACUUCAGCCAAGUGAAGAUUCUCUGUACGCCCUGGCACCCGGGGAAGCAGGUGUUUCCCCCUCUUCCUGUCGUGCUCUUACUGUGAGUCAUGUCCAGGUCCUCUUAACAGGGUCAGUCAGCUUCUCAUCUCAGCUGUGCCGUAACACUGUAUCUCUGCAGCCUGGUGAAGGUGACGGUGUUUUCAUGAAGUGUACAUCUCUGCAGUAACUGGCCUGGCACAUUUGAAUAGGAACAGCAGCUUGCUUUCAUGCAGGGUACGGUGCAGAUUGCUUUUCAUGCAUUACUUCUGCUUCUCACACCCCCCCCCCCACUCCACCGCCCCGAAAGAGAGCAUAUUGUCCUAAUUUUACCAAGCAGAAAACUGACUCCCAGACAGCAGCUUCGCUCAGCCAAGGCCCGUCAGAGCACUGCCUGGGACCCACAUCCCCCGACUCCAGGGCCGGGCACCUCGGGGCCCUCACGUGGGCCUUAAUAGAGAUACAGUUUAUGUUCAGACCAGGCCUUGAGCCAUGCAGAGUCCUCAGUCUCUCAGGACUUGCUGCAUUUUCUUCUAAAUGCCAAUUCAAAAGUUCCUUCAGGCAUGG